rnacentral:rRNA from 1 species
UACGUAGGGGGCAAGCGUUGUCCGGAAUCAUUGGGCGUAAAGCGCGCGUAGGCGGCCCGGUAAGUCCGCUGUAAAAGUCCAGGGCUCAACCCUGGAAAGCCGGUGGAUACUGUCAAGCUCGAGUCCGGAAGAGGAGUGUGGAAUUCCUGGUGUAGCGGUGAAAUGCGCAGAUAUCAGGAGGAACACCAAUGGCGAAGGCAGCACUCUGGGACGUGACUGACGCUGAGACGCGAAAGCGUGGGGAGCGAACAGG